rnacentral:tRNA from 1 species
GCCUCGUUAGCUCAGUUGGUAGAAUAGUUGACUCUUAAUCAAUUUGUCCACGGUUCCAGCCCGUGAUGGAGUA